rnacentral:rRNA from 1 species
ACCCCAGGUCAGGUGGGAUUACCCGCUGAGUUUAAAAAUAUGAAUAAGAGGAGUAAAAUAAACUUACAAGGAUUUCAUUAGUAACGGCAAGCGAAUCAGGACCAACCCAACCUUAGAAUCGGCGACUCCAUCAUAUGAAAUGUAGUCUUGAGAAGUGUCCUCAGUGGCAGACUGGGCCUAAGUCCCUUGGAAGGGGGCGCUAGAGAAGGUGAGAGCCCUAUUAUGCCCGGACCUUGUCUCACUAUAAGGCGCUGUCUACGAGUUGAGUUGAUUGGGAAUGUAGCCCAAAUUGGGUAGUAAACUCUGUCCAUUGCUAAAUAUGAGUGAGAGACUGAUAUCAAACAAGUACCGUGAGGGAAAAAUAAAAACGAUUUUGAAAAAAAAGUCAAAGAGUGCUUGAAAUUGUCUGGAGGAAAGCUAAUGGGGGCCAGUGAUGUGCCCCGAUCAGAAGUGGAAUAGCUAUAAACUAGUCCGUCGAUGAACUCAGGGCAUGGACCAACGAAGAUUAGGGGUGGCAAAGAUCGAUCCCUCAAUACUCUCGUGGAACACCAUCUCAUCGAUUGUGGUAGGGAGCGCGUGCCUCUAGAAUACUUCAGCAUCUGUGCACUCCAGAAGCUGGCAUGUGAGCUCCCCAUUCAACCCGUCUUGAAAGAUGAACCAAGGAGUUUGACAUAUGUGCGAGUCAACGGGCGAGUAAACCCAUUAGGUGUAAGGAAGAUUAUUGGUGGAAUCCCCUUGAGUGGAGCACCACCGAUGGACCUUCAUCAUUUGAGAAUGGUCUGAAUAUGCACAUACCUGUUGGGAUUCAAAAGAUAGUGAACUAUGUCUGAGCGGGGCGAAGCCAGAGAAAACUUUGGAGGAGGCCUACAGCGAUACUGACAUGCAAAUAAUUCUUCUGACUUGUGUAUAGGGGAGAAAGACUAAUUGAAACAUAUAGUAGUUAGUUCCCUCCAAAUUUUCCCUCAAGAUAGCUGAAGCUGGCGUGUGAGUGCUAUCAGGUAAAGCCAAUGCUAAGAGACCUCGAGGGAGCAACUCCCUCGACCUAUUCUCAAAGAUUAAAUAGUAGAAUAGUGCAACUACUUUAUGAGCCAUGCCACGGAAUCAAGAGCUACAAGUAGGCCAUUUUUGGUAAGAAGAACUGGCAAUAUGGGAUGAAUUGGAGGCUGGGUUAUGGUACCCAAUUACACGCUAACCUAGAUCCCACAAAGGGUGUUAACUGAUUAAGACAACUUGAUGGUGGUUAUUGAAAUCAAAAUCCACUAAGGAGUGCGUAAUAACUUACCUGCUAAAUCUACUAGCGUCAAAAAUAGAUGGUACUUAACCAUGCAACCUAUACCCGGCCAUCGGGGUAAGUUCCAGGCCCUAAUGAGUAGGAGGUUACAACGGUCACUAGAAAACCUUAGGCGCGAGCCUGGGCAGAAUGGCCAUCGGUGCAGAUCUUGGUGGUAGUAGCAAAUAUUCAAAUGAGAACUUUGAAAGUAAAAUAGGGGAAAGGUUCCAUGUGAAUGGUACUUGCACAUGGGUUAGUCAAUCCUAAGGGUAGGAGGAACCCUGACAGAUAACGAGUUUUGCCCAUACUCCAAAAGAGAAUCGGGUUAAAAUUCCAGAAUCAAGACGUGGCGGUCGACGACAAUGUUAGAAAGUUUGAAGACGUUAGUAGGACCCACAAAAAGAUUUAUCUUUUCUAUUUUACAAUUUUUCCACCCUAGAUUCGUCUCAGCUAAAGGUAGGGUCCAGCAGUUGUUAGAGCACCGCACGUCGCGUGUUGUUCGAUGCUCUCCAAGAGGCCCUUGAAAAUCUAAAGGACUGAAUACCAUCCACACCCAAUCGUACUUAUAACUGCAUCAGUUCUCCAAGGUGAAGAGCCUCUGGUCGAUGGAACAAUAUACGAAAGGGAAGUCGGCAAACUAGAUUCGUAACUUUGGGAAAAGGAUUAGCUCUGAGGGCUGUGCACGGGGAAACAGUCACAAACCCGUCGGCUAUCGGUGGACUGCUCGAGAUACUCCUGUGGCGUGAGUGGGUCACUGCGUGCUGUGUGGUGAAAGGACUGGAAAUGGUCACUUUAAGGGCCUUCCCCGCAAGUCAAACGACCAACUCAGAAUUGGUACGGGCAAUGGGAAUCGAACUGUUUAAUUAAAACAAAGCAUUGCGAUGAUCCCAAUGGAUAUUCACGCAACAUGAUUUCUGCCCAGUUCUCCGAAUGUCAAAGUGAAGAAAUUCAACCAAUAGUGGGUAAACGACUAGAGUAACUAUGACUCUCUUAAGGUAGCCAAAUGCCUCAUUAUCUAAUUAGUGACACGUAUGAAUUGAUUAAUGAGAUUCCUACUGUCUAUGUUUACUAUCCAGGAAACCACAACAAAAGGAAUGGGCUUGGUAGAAUCUACGGGGAAAGAAGACCUUGUAGAUCUUGACUCUUGUAUAAUUUUAUGAAUUGACUUGAGAGGUGUAGUAUAAUUGGUCAAAAGGCAAAAGUGAAAUACCACUCCUUUUAAUGUUAUUUUACUUAUUACAUGAAUAAGAAGCAAGGUACUUCCCCUCUAUUUUGACCCAAGGCUCACCCAGCGGGCUGAUCUGGGUAGAAGACACUGUCAGGUGGGGAGUUCGGCUGGGGUGGCACAUCUAUUAAAUAUAAGGCAGGUGUCCUAAGAUGAGCUCAACGAGAACAGAAAUCUCAUGUGGAAUAAAAGGGUAAAAGCUCAUUUGAUUCUAAUUUACAGUACACAUAUGAACUAUGAAUGCAUCGCCUAACAAUUCUUUAGACCUUCAAAAUUCAAAGCUACAAGUGUCAGAAAUAUUACCAAAGGGAUAACUGGCUUGUGGCAGCCAAGCGUUGAUAGAGACGUUGCUUUUUGAACCUUCGAUGUCGGCUUUUCCUAUCAUUUUGAAGCAAAAUUCUGCAAGUGUUGGAUUGUUCAACCACCAAUAGGGAAUAUGAGCUGGGUUUAGACCAUCGUGUGAUAAGUUAGUUUUACCCUACUGAUGACAAUGUCACAAUAGUAAUUCAACCUAGUAAGAGAGGAACCAUUGAUUCACAUGAUUAGUCAUCGCGCUUACUUUAAAAUCCAGUGGCGCAAAGCUACAAUGUGAUGGUUUACUACAAAAUGCCUCUAAGUUAGAAUCCGUGUUGGAAGUGAUGGAUGCACCCUCCAUCCACUUGCCGACCCGUAGUAGGGUCUACUAUCCCUAAGGGAACAUAACGUAGACCCUUAAGGGUUGCGGUAUCCACAUUGAGUACAAUUUUAAUCGAGCAGCAGAAAGAAUCCUUUGCAGAUGACUUAAUUACUCGAUAUGGUAUUGUAAGUGGAAGGUUGGCCUUGCUUCCACGAUCCACUAAGAUUCAUC